GGCGGUAUAGCUCAGUUGGUAGAGCAGCGGAAUCAUAGCCCGCUUGUCGUCGGUUCGAAUCCGGCUGCCGCUA
rnacentral:tRNA from 1 species